GACGAACGCUGGCGGCGUGCCUAAUACAUGCAAGUCGAGCGAAAAGAUGAGGAGCUGGCUCCUCUGACGUUAACGGCGGACGGGAGAGGAACAUGUGGAUAACCUACCUAUAGGACUGGGAUAACUACGGGGAACCGGAACUAAUACCGGAUAAUAUAUGGAACCGCAUGGUUCAAUAGUUAAAGACGGUUUUGCUGUCACUGAUAGAUGGCUCCGCGCCGCAUUAGCUAGGUGGUAAGGUAACGGCUUACCAAGGCAACGAUGCGUAGCCGACCCGAGAGGGGGUACGCCCACUCUGGAACCGAGCCGCCGCCCUGACUCCGACGGGCGGCCGCGGUACGGACUCUUCCGAGAUGGGGGAAAGCCUGACGGAGCAGCGCCGGGCGAAUGCUGAAGCGCCUCGGACGGUAUAACGCUGUUCGUAUUGAAGACCGAAUGCGUAAGUAGCUAUGCUCGUCUUGACGGUACCUGAAGAAAAAGCACCGGCUAACUACGUG
rnacentral:rRNA from 1 species